rnacentral:rRNA from 1 species
AUUGAACGCUGGCGGCAUGCUUUACACAUGCAAGUCGAGCGGUAACAGGCCUUCGGGUGCUGACGAGUGGCGAACGGGUGAGUAAUGCAUCGGAACGUACCCAGAGGUGGGGGAUAACGCAGCGAAAGCUGUGCUAAUACCGCAUGUGAUCUGAGGAUGAAAGCGGGGGACCGAGCAGCAAUGUUUGGCCUCGCGCCUUUGGAGCGGCCGAUGUCGGAUUAGCUAGUUGGUGGGGUAAAGGCCUACCAAGGCGACGAUCCGUAGCUGGUCUGAGAGGACGACCAGCCACACGGGAACUGGGACACGCCCCAGACUCCAACGGGAGGCGGCAUUGGGAAAUUUUGGACAAUGGGGGCAGGCCUGUCCCAGCAUGGCCGGGUGGGGGAAGAGGGCCUUCGGGUUUUAACCCGCUUUGGGAGGAAACAAAACGGUGUCCGCUAAUACCGGGGGCUAUGACGGUACCUGCAGAAUAAGCACCGGCUAACUACGUG